UGUUGAUAGUCGGAGUGAACAGAGUAAGGAUAUUCUCUGGAACAAAUCGUACUAGUGGGUGGGUGUCUGUAUCUUAAAGGCAGGAACAGAGGCUCUGUGCCUCCUCCACCUGUUAGUCCAGCCAGGCACCCCACCCUGGAUGCAGCUUUGGGCCUGAGGCCGAGAGGAUUCCUGGAAGAGGAGCAGUGUACCUUCUACAUAUGGCCAUGGCAGAGUAACUGGGAUCAGAUUUCCUUCCCAAUAUAAACAAUAAGAAAACUAGACGAAAGAUAUAAAACAACUGUUUUCAAACAUUGAACAACUGGCAGUGCAGGAUUGUGAUCCUUGUGAGCAGACUGGGACACUGGUCUUCUCCUUCCUUUGGACUCAGACUCAGACUUAGACUGGAAUUUACAACAUCAACUCACCUGGGUUUCCAGCUUGCCAACUUCAGAUCUUGGACUUCUCAUCUUCUAUAAUCAUGAUCUGUUCCAGAAGGAACUGCUGGAUCAAAGCAUGUGCGAACUCUUAAGGCUUCUGAUACAUAUUGCCAAAUUACCACUCGAAGGACUUACCAGCAGUGAAUGGGAGAACCUCUUCCCCAGGGUCCUGACCCACCCAACCAUAAACACACAAUAAGGAAGUAAGGGGGAUGGGGGAGGGAUAUUAAUGUUUUAAUUUGUUCUUUUGUUUAUAAGUAAAGAAAAAUUUGUUUAUUCCUUAUGAUUAUUUGUAUUUUUUCUUUUAUAAAUACUCUUUGUUUAUUAUUCAAAUCAGCAUGCUCUUCUCCUUUUUGUUUGCAAGAAGAGAGAGAAACACUUAGAAGAUAGAAUCCCAUAUUUCGUUCCUCCUCUAUGGGCAGAGACAGGAGCUAAUAAGAAUGUAACAUGCAUUUGCAGACUUUUUGUCAGAAACCUUAGCAAAAAUUAACUUUAAGCAAAUCCUCUGCCCCUACCAGCUUCCAGGAUCUGAGUGGUAAGAAUACCCCAGGCAGUGGCCCUACCUGUCCUGGGCAAUGCCCUGCCAGGCUAUGUAAUGGGUGGGUGUACAGGUGUCCAGACACAGGGGUCAGAACAUCACCCAGGCCAAAUCCCAGCUCCACCACUCACAACCAUGGGACCUUGAGCAAGUUGUUUAAACCCUCCCUGCCUCCAUUUCUCCAUUUGUAAAAUGGGAAUAAUAAUGAUAAUACUUUAUUUGGCUGCUGUAAGGGUCAUAUAAGUGCAUAUAGAGAGCAUUUAAACCACCUGGCACGUAUUAAGAACCAUGUAACUAUUAGCUGUUAUUAUUAUUGUUUUGAUCAAGAUUUUUCUCUGGAUAUAGCUAGCCUGCUUCCAUUCUUUUGUAAUUCACAUUGAAGGAAGAUUUCCUUUGGGCAAGUUAUAUAUGUAUAUUUUGUCUACAGAUAAAAACAAAAAAACAAAUAUUUGAAUAUUAUAAAACAAUAAAAACAAACAUUUG
rnacentral:lncRNA from 1 species